UACGAAGGGGGCUAGCGUUGCUCGGAAUCACUGGGCGUAAAGCGCACGUAGGCGGGUUGUUAAGUCAGGGGUGAAAUCCUGGAGCUCAACUCCAGAACUGCCUUUGAUACUGGCGAUCUCGAGUCCGGGAGAGGUGAGUGGAACUGCGAGUGUAGAGGUGAAAUUCGUAGAUAUUCGCAAGAACACCAGUGGCGAAGGCGGCUAUCUGGACCGACACUGACGCUGAGGCGCGAAAGCGUGGGGAGCAAACAGG
rnacentral:rRNA from 1 species